rnacentral:rRNA from 1 species
UGGUCAAGUUAUUAAGGGUGCAGGGCGGAUGCCUUGGCACUAGGAGCCGAUGAAGGACGUGAUAAGCUGCGAUAAGCUUCGGGGAGUUGCACGUAAACUUUGAUCCGAAGAUUUCCGAAUGAGGAAACUCACUUAGAGUAAUGUCUAAGUAUCAUUAAGUGAAUACAUAGCUUAAUGAGGGGAACUCAGGGAACUGAAACAUCUAAGUACCUGAAGGAAGAGAAAGAAAUU